GUAAAACUGAUUUUUAGGAACAAAACAUUAUAAUUUUAAUUUUCAAAAAACUUAAAAAUUUAAUUGAAAUUUUGCUGAAAAAAAAAAAAAUUAAUACAAUAUAAAAAAAAGUGAAAGAAAUGUGUGUGUGGUAUAAAAGUGAGCACAAAAAUGUGGAAGAACAAUGAGUAAAAACUUUCAAAAAAAAAAAACAAAAAAUAAAUGUAUAAAUGGGUUCAAUGAUAUUUGUACAUGAUGAUGAUGGUAGUAAUGAUGGUGAUGAUGAUUAUGAUGAUAAAAUGAUAUUGUCCUUAGUUAAUAUGUAUAUAAACACGCAUAUAUGGAACACUGACGGAGAGCAAAUUUUUGGGAACAAAAAGCACACAAAAAAAUCAUUAAUUUCAAACAAUUUUAUAAUUUGGAAAUCAUAAGUGCACUCAAAUUGCGAUAGUGGGUACCCAAAUGCUGCUUAUUAUCAUGUCUAAAAUCCAUGUCAAUUUGCUAUUUCAUCACUUACACAAGUUGUAUAUCCUGACAUAUAACACAUUUGUGUUACACAGCUGAAUUGUAACACUGGCUUACAUGUGAAGAGCUAAUAUUAAGGGAAAAGAUCGCAAUAUCAAAAUUUAUUUGGAUCGUAAUAUGAUAUAAACCCUACAAAUUAUUGAAUGCAACAAAAAUGGAAGAAUGCAAGAAAAUUGGAAAGAUGCAAGAUGACUGAAAGAGUUGAUUGAAAGACAAAAGAUGAUUGGAAUUUUCCAAAAAUUAAAAAUAGUUAAAAUUCAUACGAAAAAAUAGAAGAAGUAAAGGAAUUCAGUCAAAUACAUUACUGAUUAUGCCUGAAAUUUGGAUAAUAUUCACAAUAUUACAAUGACCGAUGCAAAAUAUUACAGUAGAGGCGAACCUAUACGAGGCAAAGUCGGAGAUUAUAAACCAUAAAUUUAAUGAAUGUAUGUAAGUAACACAAAUAUUAAAAUUAAGCUAUUUUAUACCAUUAAAGAAGGGGAAUUAAGUUAUUAAAAAAGAAGAAUUUAUUGGGGUUAAGGAAAUAUCCUUUUAUAAAAUAUGUAUGUAUUAAGAUUCAUGUUAGGUUAUACAUACUCUUUAAAUAGAAAGAGCUGUUUUGAUAUAGUUAAAUAGUGUAAUUAAUUUUAAUUUAAUUGACCGAGUCAGCUCUGUGAUACCCGUACGAAUGAAUGAUUUAAAGAUAAUUGUGAAUGAUAUUUUUCAUUAUGCUUCCAGACACCGUUAUGUUGUGUUACCACAUAAACUAGUACAGCCUCAAAUA